ensembl:lncRNA
UUCCCACAAGCCAUUCUGUCAACCUAAAUGAGACCAGGACAGGAUCCAAGCACAGAGCUCUAACACUAUUUUGGUACAAUAAAACUCCAGUAAGAGGCGUCGUCGUGGAACAGAAGUGUUCAAUUUGCAGCGGUCUCUUAAUUUUAACCCUUCUGUACCUCAUUCAAAACCUUCCGUUUCAACUUUUUUGGAAAGGAAAGAAAAAGGAGCCAGGACUUUGGUCAAAGUCCUCAUGGAUAACAUCUGGUCAGAGUUGUCACCAGGGCCACUCCCGAACAUGUUUAAAGUAACCUUUUAUGUAAAAAUGUUGGAUGGGACAUGUUCCAGUAGCAAUAUCAGUGUUGCCCUUGAAGACAACAAGCUCAACUGGACGUACAAUUUCCCUUCUUCCGCGGUCUUCCUGCCAACUUGUCCAGACUGUCUUUUGAACCAGAUUACAACCACCAUCAAUGGAAACAACUUCAUGUCUCUGGAACUCUACAGUAAGAGAAGAGAACUCUCCGCUGCUGAACUGUUUCAGUUCAAGACACAGGUUGCCUGUCUCAACUUGCCACAGGCAGUUUUCCUCAACUCUAAGACAGAACACUGUCCAGACACCACUGCAAGGAUUCCCAUCAUGGAAGAGAAGUACAUGGAGUUCAUUCAAUCUAUGGAGACCGAACCUCUCAAGGGAUUUUUUUCAGUAACAGAUUAUCUCAUUGAGAAGGCAGAAUGCCUGGGAUGGAUUUAAAGCAGGCUCAGUUAUCCUGGUGGACUGGAGCUUUCCAAUUGAUUCAGCUAAUAAAUGUCUUGGUGAGCAUCUAAUCUCACCAAGGGAUUUACUCAAGCAGAAUCACAUGGGUUUAACUGUACUCUGAAUGAAAGGGGAGUUGGUGAAACCAUUUAGACUUUUUGUCUUCAUAAAGAACCGCUUCACUAACCUUACAAAAUGAUGUUUUCUAAUGGAACUUAACAACACCUGAUGAAGGUCUGAGAUGAACUGUAAUAUCUACAGUGGCUGUGAUACUGUAAAAAAAUCUGUAGGUUUUCAACAGGUUGUAUGAACAGUUUUAUGCAUGAAAAUGAUACUAUACAUGAUGUGACUAGAGCUUCAUUCUGUGUCCUUAAAGGCCUU